rnacentral:rRNA from 1 species
UAGAUACCCUGGUAGUCCAUGCUGUAAACGGUGGGCGCUAGGUGUGGGCUGUGUGUUUGCAGUCUGUGCCGUAGCUAACGCAUUAAGCGCCCCGCCUGGGGAGUACGGCCGCAAGGCUAAAACUCAAAGGAAUUGACGGGGGCCCGCACAAGCGGCGGAGCAUGUGGAUUAAUUCGAUGCAACGCGAAGAACCUUACCUGGGUUUGACAUGCACCAGAUCGGCGUAGAGAUACGUCCUCCCUUGUGGUUG